GUUGGAGUGGAGUAGUAGUUAACUCGUCGCCCUUCCAAGGCGGAAACUCGGGUGCGAAUCCCGGCUCCAGCA